rnacentral:lncRNA from 12 species
GUUUGUUUAAAAAGGAGCAGGAACUCACAUGUAUAUGCAGAGCAACCUGAAUGCAGAAAUCUGUGUUUUUCCCUGAUUAUUUACAUAUGUCUGGUCCACAACCAACGUAACAGCAAUUUUUUUCGUAGUUACUCACCUUUAUCAAAUUUUUCUAAAGUCUGAAUUUGCUUUUCAGAAGGACUACAAUGAUUUUUUUGUUCCCAUGUUUAUUUAUUUAAGAAUUACGAUAAAAAGUGUGCAAUUGGCCCAAACAAGUGUGGAGGGGAUCAGUAUACAGAAGUCUGGGAGGGUCCCCGCCUGCCUGACGCCAGUGGUGUGUGUAGCUCAGGUAAAAGGUCUUGGAUUAUAGGUUGUGAUGGGUUUGGGGAGCUGAGAAUACAAAAAGGAAUAAAAUGUUCUUAGGGUAUGGUGCAGGAGGCUGGUUACACAUCAGGCAUGUGUAUUUUCAGGAGACAUGCAGAGAAGUAUGUGAGAAAAAAAAGGAUGGAUUUUGUUGGUUCAGUGAAGCUUUCCCUGAUUAGCAGAGUUCACGCUAUGUUUGUCUUCUCAUGUACUGUUAUUUCAAACAUGCUUCAUGUGAGUCAUAAGGAAGCUAGCGUGAUGACGAGGAAGUGCACUUCUAUCAAUUCUAUUUCUUUAAAAAAUUUAUUUAUUUAUUUAUUUAUUUAUUUAUUUAUUUAUUUAUUGAUUUUAUUUACUUAUUCAUGAGAGACACAGAAAGAGAGGCAGAGACACAGGCAGAGGGAGAAGAAGCAGGCUCCCUGCGUGAAGCCUAAUGCAGAACUCAAUCCCAGGACCCUGGGAUCACGACCUGAGCCAAAGGCAGAUGCUCAACAACUGAGCUACCCAGGCAUCCCUACCGAUUGAGGUUUCUUUGAGAACUUGACCAAGUAGCAAAAUGGCUGCGAGUCACUUUGGACUUACAUUGGAACGAGACUACCUCUCCCUACUGCUGCUGCAAAACCCUGGGGUGAUAUAUAAUUGGCUCCACUUUUUGCUUCUAAACCCACCCAGAGGGCUGGGAUUGGAGUCAGCCUUACAGAUGCUAUGUGGAUUGAGACUGGUCAGGAGCAGAUUCCACCAAGAAAAUAAAGUGUACUCUUACCAGAAGAGAGCCAAUGUUGGUUUCCAAACAUUGGAGGCAAAAUCUGUCAGAGAUAAUCCUGUUUACCAUGAAACCCAAGAACAUAAACAAAUGAGGAAGGCAUUCUUUAGACUUCAAGAUGUUCAGCUUUCUUCAAUUGAAAAACUAGGCCUAAUGACAAUUCCUGGCUAUGUGGAACUUUUUCUUUCUUUGACAUUACUUUACUCUCUAUAGUGAGAUUGGGAAACACUUGUGGCAUCCUGAUGAUAUGGAGUAUGGAUCUGCUCUACUAAGCCUGGGAGCUGGUGCUGUGCACGGAGAAGGUAGAUGGUCUGUGGCAAUAGAGUUCUGAGGGUCCCAAGCCCAAGUGAGUCAUGUCUAGCUCACUUUGGAAAUGAUUUGUCCAGUGACUUCCAUGGCCUGCAUUGACUUUUUAAAUUGUAUUUCUUUGCUGAAUUCAAUCACAUUUCAAAAAAAUAUUUAUUGAACAUUUGUUCUUUUGAAGGGAUAAUAUUGACUAGUUUUGGGGAUUGGGUAAUGUAGGAUACAGACUUGAAAAAUAUACACAUUCUUCACUCUAAAUAAAUUGAUAACUGAAGUUUACUUAAUGAUGCUU